CAGCCGCCACGGUAAUACGUAGGGUGCGAGCGUUAAUCGGAAUUACUGGGCGUAAAGCGUGCGCAGGCGGUUGUGUAAGACAGGUGUGAAAUCCCCGGGCUUAACCUGGGAACUGCGCUUGUGACUGCACAGCUAGAGUAUGGCAGAGGGGGGUGGAAUUCCACGUGUAGCAGUGAAAUGCGUAGAGAUGUGGAGGAACACCGAUGGCGAAGGCAGCCCCCUGGGCCAAUACUGACGCUCAUGCACGAAAGCGUGGGGAGCAAACAGGAUUAGAUACCCCUGUAGUCCCUGUCUCUUAUAA
rnacentral:rRNA from 1 species